UACGGAAGGUCCGGGCGUUAUCCGGAUUUAUUGGGUUUGAAGGGAGCGUAGGCCGCUUUGUAAGCGUGUUGUGAAAUUUGCCGGCUCAACCGGUAACUUGCAGCGCGAACUGCAGAGCUUGAGUGUGCGCAACGUUGGCGGAAUUCGUCGUGUAGCGGUGAGAUGCUUAGAUAUGACGAAGAACUCCGAUUGCGAAGGCAGCUGACGGGAGCACUACUGACGCUGAAGCUCGAAAGUGCGGGUAUCGAACAGGAUUAGAUACCCUGGUAGUCCGCACGGUAAACGAUGGAUGCCCGCUGUUUGCGAUAUACAGUAAGCGGCCAAGCGAAAGCGUUAAGUAUUCCACCUGGGGAGUACGCCGGCAACGGUGAA
rnacentral:rRNA from 1 species